AGACAUGCGCAGUAGCCUCCCCCGCGGUGGCGGCGGCGGCGGCGGUGGCUGCCGUGGCGGCUGAGAGUCCAGAGCCGGACGUUCCGGCCGCUUCGGGCUGGCGGCUGGAGAGCGCUCGGGUCAUGUCUGCCCAGGGGGACUGCGAGUUCCUGGUGCAGCGAGCCCGGGAGUUGGUGCCGCAAGACCUGUGGGCAGCCAAGGCGUGGCUGAUCACGGCCCGCAGCCUCUACCCGGCAGACUUUAACAUCCAGUAUGAGAUGUACACCAUCGAGCGGAAUGCAGAGCGGACCGCCACCGCCGGGAGGCUGCUGUACGACAUGUUUGUGAAUUUCCCAGACCAGCCGGUGGUGUGGAGAGAAAUCAGCAUUAUUACAUCAGCAUUAAGGAACGAUUCACAGGACAAACAAACCCAAUUUUUAAGAAGUUUAUUUGAAACUCUUCCUGGUCGGGUCCAGUGUGAAAUGUUACUAAAGGUCACGGAACAAUGCUUCAACACGUUAGAACGAUCAGAAAUGUUGCUUCUACUUUUGAGGCGCUUCCCUGAAACGGUGGUGCAGCAUGGGGUUGGCCUUGGGGAGGCACUAUUAGAGGCUGAAACUAUUGAAGAACAAGAAUCUCCAGUGAACUGCUUUAGAAAAUUAUUUGUUUGUGAUGUCCUUCCUCUAAUAAUUAACAACCAUGAUGUUCGAUUACCUGCCAAUUUAUUGUAUAAGUACUUGAACAAAGCAGCUGAAUUUUAUAUCAAUUAUGUCACUAGGUCUACUCAAAUAGAAAAUCAGCAUCAAGGCGCCCAGGAUACAUCUGAUUUAAUGUCACCUAGCAAACGUAGCUCUCAGAAGUACAUAAUAGAAGGGCUGACGGAAAAAUCAUCCCAGAUCGUGGACCCUUGGGAGAGGUUGUUUAAGAUUUUGAAUGUUGUUGGAAUGAGAUGUGAAUGGCAGAUGGAUAAAGGAAGACGAAGCUAUGGAGAUAUUUUGCAUAGAAUGAAGGAUCUCUGCAGAUACAUGAACAACUUUGAUAGUGAAGCACAUGCAAAAUAUAAAAACCAAGUGGUGUAUUCCACCAUGCUGGUCUUCUUUAAGAAUGCAUUCCAGUAUGUCAACAGCAUACAGCCAUCUCUCUUCCAAGGUCCUAAUGCCCCGAGCCAAGUUCCACUGGUUCUUCUUGAAGAUGUAUCGAAUGUGUAUGGUGAUGUAGAAAUUGAUCGUAAUAAACACAUCCAUAAAAAGAGGAAACUAGCUGAAGGAAGAGAAAAAACCAUGAGUUCAGACGAUGAAGACUGUUCGGCGAAAGGAAGAAAUCGUCACAUUGUAGUCAAUAAAGCCGAACUUGCUAACUCCACUGAAGUGUUAGAAAGCUUUAAAUUGGCCAGGGAGAGCUGGGAGUUGCUCUAUUCCCUAGAAUUCCUUGACAAAGAAUUUACAAGGAUUUGCUUGGCCUGGAAGACGGAUACUUGGCUUUGGUUAAGAAUCUUCCUCACUGAUAUGAUCAUCUAUCAGGGUCAAUAUAAAAAGGCGAUAGCCAGCCUGCAUCACUUAGCAGCUCUCCAGGGAUCCAUUUCUCAGCCACAGAUCACAGGGCAGGGGACCCUGGAGCAUCAGAGGGCGCUCAUCCAGCUGGCGACGUGCCACUUUGCGCUAGGGGAGUACAGAAUGACAUGUGAAAAAGUCCUUGAUUUGAUGUGCUACAUGGUACUCCCCAUUCAAGAUGGAGGCAAAUCCCAGGAGGAACCCUCGAAAGUAAAGCCCAAAUUUAGAAAAGGUUCGGAUCUGAAGCUCCUGCCUUGUACCAGCAAGGCUAUCAUGCCAUACUGCCUCCAUUUAAUGUUAGCCUGUUUUAAGCUUAGAGCUUUCACAGACAACAGAGACGACAUGGCAUUGGGGCAUGUGAUUGUGUUGCUUCAGCAAGAGUGGCCACGGGGCGAGAAUCUUUUCCUGAAAGCUGUCAAUAAAAUUUGCCAACAAGGAAAUUUCCAAUAUGAGAAUUUUUUCAAUUACGUUACAAGUAUCCUUUUUUCUUGUUUAAGCAUAACACAUUCUGAUUUUCUUUAGAAUGAAUACAUGAUAGAAAAAGAAUGAACCAUUCUGGAUAGAAAUAAUGAUUUUUACUAUUUUGCAGCGAAGAGAAGGAAUGGGGAUUAAAACUGGGGCUGUGGCAGUUGAUCUUCUGAAAGUCGUGAAAGACAUGAUUCAAGGAAUUGGGAAUCUUACAACCCUCUUCCAUUUUCCACUGCUAGGUGACUUCUAAGAAGAAUGCCUCCUGUAGCCUCUGGGGACAGUGGCUGUGCCCUGCAAUCACUUGUUAGGGCACCCUGCCAUAGCUGUCUUACCUACCAAUGAGUACCCACCAGAGAUGCUGCACAGCACAGUAGCUGCUUCUGACAUUAGGUAAUGCUGUAUUUCACACUGCUUAUUAGGGAAAGACCUUUGAAUUAAAGGUUAGUUAUCAAUUUGGGUGUUUUUACUUCAUUGUUUAUCUUAUUACAUUAUUUCUGAAUUGCAAGGAAUAUAAAUGAUAUUCUUGUUCAGGUGCUCAGAGCAAUAGUUUUUAUUUUUAUUUUGUUUUUUUUUAGAGUUGGGGUCUUGCUGUGUCACCCAGGCUGGAGUGUAGUGGUGUGAUCAUAGCUCACUGCAGUCUUAAACUCCUGGGCUCAAGAGACCCUCCUACCUCAGCCUUCUGAGUAGCUAGGACCACAGGUGUGCACUACCAUACCAGGCCAAAGUAAUAGUUUUUAACCAUGGUUUGGGACAGAUAUCUUUUGAGAAUCUAAUGAAAGUUACAUAAUUUUUCACUAGAAAAAUGCAUACAUGAAUGUCAUCGACAUAUUGCAUAAAAUUUGGGUGACUCACAGAAGCUUCCUCCUCUGAUGCAUCUAUAAACCCUUGCACCCCAGUUAUGAAGAAGUAAUCACUUGAUUUUUAUGAAUUUUAUGUUCUGUAACACCAAAGAAUCCUCCCUACUUUCACCUCCUCUUUCAUUUCUUAUUAAGAAAACAAAAAAAUUUUGCUCUUGUGACCAUGUAGUAUUAAUUAUUAUCGAUAUGGAAAACAUGUUGUCCUCAUGCUCUUUAGCCUGGCACAUCUCAUGCCAAGAGUUAUCUGUGCGAGGGAGUUUAGUGGGUAUAAGAAUCAGGUUUUGGCAUCAGACAGAUCUGGGUUCAAAUAUGGAGUCUGCAGUUAGUGGGGUAGCAAUGGGCAAGUUACUCAACUGCCAAGACCCCAUU